AGGUUCUGGUUUAUGUGACUGGGUAAAAUCUCCUGUUGUAGCCAAAGGUAUGGAGGCAUGAAUGACAUGUGUUGGCCCCUCCUCUCACUUCUGCUGUGCUGCGCUGCUGAGCUUCAAGCGCAACAACCCGGAGAGCGCAGCAGCGACUUCACCGCUGCAACUUUGAUGACAGGGUUUUUUGGAGCCGUCGAUGAGCGCGUUUGAAGUACCUUGCUGGUGAAGACAAGGGGAUCGAAGCUCGACCUGUGGUUCCCCCUCUGCCAGUCGGAUCAAAAUGAAAUUCCUGAUUUGUAUGAUAGCAGUCGCCUUGGCGGUGAGAUCUGCGCACGGAG